CCCUUAGAUGUUCUGGGCUGCACGCGCGCUGCACUGACACUAUCAACGAGUGCUCCUGGUUUGAAAGGAUCGGGUAAUCUUUUGAAAUGGUGUCGUGAUGGGGAUAGAUCAUUGCAAUUAUUGAUCUUGAACGAGGAAUUCCUAGUAAAUGUGAGUCAUCAGCUCACGUUGAUUACGUCCCUGCCCUUUGUACACACCGCCCGUCGCUCCUACCGAUUGAGUGAACCGAUGAGUAGUCCGGAUUGCGAUCGACCUCGGUUAAUCGCGAGAAGUUCCGCAAAUCACUUCACUUAGAGGAAGGAGAAGUCGUAACA
rnacentral:rRNA from 1 species